UACGUAGGCAGCGAGCGUUGUUCGGAAUUACUGGGCGUAAAGCGCGCGCAGGCGGUUUCUCAAGUCAGUGGUGAAAGCCCGGAGCUCAACUCCGGAACUGCCAUUGAAACUGUGAAACUUGAGGACGAGAGAGGUGAGUGGAAUUCCCAGUGUAGAGGUGAAAUUCGUAGAUAUUGGGAAGAACACCGGUGGCGAAGGCGGCUCACUGGCUCGUUUCUGACGCUCAGGCGCGACAGCGUGGGGAUCAAACAGG
rnacentral:rRNA from 1 species